rnacentral:ncRNA from 1 species
AGUGGCGCGAAGCUACCGUGCGCUGGAUAUGACUGAACGCCUCUAAGUCAGAUCCGGGCCAGAAGCGACGCGUUGUCCGCCGCUCGUUUGCCGACCAGCAGUAGGGGCCCUCCGGCCCCCAAAGGCACGUGUCGUUGGCUAAGCCCUCGCGGCGGACGAGCCGCGCGGGCCGCCUUGAAUUACAAUUUCCACCGGGCGGCGGACUGAAUCCUUUGCAGACGACUUAAAUACGCGACGGGGUAUUGUAAGUGGCAGAGUGGCCUUGCUGCCACGAUCCACUGAGAUUCAGCCCUUCGUCGCUCCGAUUCGU